AACGAACGCUGGCGGCAUGCCUAACACAUGCAAGUCGAACGAGACCUUCGGGCCUAGUGGCGCACGGGUGCGUAACGCGUGGGAAUCUGCCCUUGGGUUCGGAAUAACAGUUAGAAAUGACUGCUAAUACCGGAUGAUGUCGUAAGACCAAAGAUUUAUCGCCCAAGGAUGAGCCCGCGUAGGAUUAGCUAGUUGGUGGGGUAAAGGCCUACCAAGGCGACGAUCCUUAGCUGGUCUGAGAGGAUGAUCAGCCACACUGGGACUGAGACACGGCCCAGACUCCUACGGGAGGCAGCAGUGGGGAAUAUUGGACAAUGGGCGAAAGCCUGAUCCAGCAAUGCCGCGUGAGUGAUGAAGGCCCUAGGGUUGUAAAGCCCUUUUACCCGGGAUGAUAAUGACAGUACCGGGAGAAUAAGCCCCGGCUAACUCCGUGCCAGCAGCCGCAGUAAUAC
rnacentral:rRNA from 1 species